rnacentral:tRNA from 1 species
AUCCCUGUAGCGCAAUGGAUAGUGCGUUGGACUUCUAAUCCAAGGUCAUGGGUUCGAAUCCCACCUAGGAUG